rnacentral:rRNA from 1 species
UACGUAGGGUCCGAGCGUUGUCCGGAAUUAUUGGCGUAAAGAGCUCGUAGGCGGUCUGUCGCGUCUGUUGUGAAAACUCGAGGCUCAACCUCGGGCUUGCAGUGGAUACGGGCAGACUAGAGUGCGGUAGGGGAGACUGGAAUUCCUGGUGUAGCGGUGGAAUGCGUAGAUAUUGGGAGGAACACCAGUGGCGAAGGCGGGCUCGCUGGACCGGAACUGACGCUGAGGCGCCGAAAGCGUGGGGAGCAAACAG